CGAAUGGGUGAGUAACACGUGCUUAAUCUACCUUUUAGAUUGGAAUACCCAUUGGAAACAAUGGCUAAUGCCGGAUACGCAUGGAACCGCAUGGUUCCGUUGUGAAAGGCGCUGUAAGGCGCCACUAAAAGAUGAGGGUGCGGAACAUUAGUUAGUUGGUGAGGUAAUGGCCCACCAAGACUAUGAUGUUUAGCCGGGUCGAGUGACUAAACGGCCACAUUGGGACUGAGAUACGGCCCAAACUCCUACGGGAGGCAGCAGCA
rnacentral:rRNA from 1 species